GUGAUCCACCCACUUCAGCCUCCCAAAGUGCUAGGAUUACAGGCGUGAGCCACUGCUCCCUAUCCAUAGAAUGAUUUCUAAAUGCCUAAUCAAACUGUUGUGAAAUUUCUUUAUUCCUAAUAACAGCUAACAUUCAUGGAGCAUCUACUAUGUGCCAAGAACUGUUUUAAUGCUUCCCAUGGGAACUCAUGCAAGCCUCCCAGCAAUCCCAUGAUAGUUGAAGUACUUAAGGUUACCCUGAUGUUAUCUCGAGGAAGCUAAAGGACCUGGGUGGAUGCCUUGCCCAGGAUCACACAGCUAGUUAAGUGGCAAAUGCAGAAUUCAAAUUCAGGAAGCCCAGCUCCAAAUUGUUACCACCAACAGAAAAUACUUAUUAAGUGCUUACCAGGUACUAUGUUAAGCAUUUUAUAAAAGAAGUCUAAUUCAUUCCACAGUAUAGGUACAAUGAUUUCCAUUCCUGCUGUGCAGAUAAGGAAAUAGGCUCAAAAUCUGAGCUGAAGGAACUUGUCCAAGGUACUAUAAUUCACAAGUGGAAAAUGUUUCUUUUGCUUAUAAUAUUGUUUCUUUUGCUUAUAAUAUCACCGCCUCCUUUGGCUAAAUGCUCAUUAUUUUUCACGUCUCAAUUUAAAUUUGCUUCUUUUGUUUGUCUCCUCUGAUAGUCCUACACUAGGCUAGACCUCCUUUUAUAUGUAGUUUUAGUAAUCUGUGUAUUCUCUUUGUAGUAGCCACUACAAUUUGAUUUAGUUGUCUUUAUGUCCCUCUUUGGUAAAUACCUGCCUCUCCCACAAGUACAGAGUUACAUGGAGACAGGGAUUGCAUCUAUUUCUGCUUACCAGUGUAUCUCUAACAUUUAGCAUGUAUUAGGUGUGCACCAAAUAUUUAAUAAAUUAAUGCACUUUAAACUUUCUUAGAUUGAUGCUGAUAAACACUAGAACGUAAACUGGACAAAAAGAUUUCCAUGCUGUAUUUCUGUAAAUAAUAGCGAUAGGAGUCUUGAGAAGAAAAAUAGAAAUGAGAUGAACUCAAGGGAAAGUCAAGACUCUACUAUGAAAAAGGAUGUAAUUUUAGGAAGAUGAAGAAAAUGAAGGACAUCUCAGAUGGUGAAAACAAAAGUGUAGGGAGUGGAACCAAGAAACCAAGGACAAUGGGGGAGGAAACCACUCCCUGGGAACAGAAUUGCAUUCUAAUCAGGGAUCAUUCCUUGUAAUUCUAUGUGGAAAAUCUGACUGUAUAUAUCCAGCUGGACUUCAGAAGUACUACAAAAUAGCAACUACCGUGGCACAUUGGAAAAUAUGAUGCAGGCAGAGGUUUGAAAAGUUCUUGUGCAUUGGAGUCACUCUUUCUUGUUCUGGGACUUCUCCAUUUGAAAAGAAGGAACUAGCUUCCUGUAAGAUGAGAUCCAAUGUGGAGAAAGUCCCAUCAAUCUCAGACAACUCAGAGGAUCAUGAGCUAAAUACAAUAGUGUUGUUUUAAACCACUACAUUUUGAGGUGUUUUGUUAUGCAGCAAAAGCUAACUGAUAUUGGUUGGAUUUGUACAGAUAGACAGAAAAUGAGAGGUUAAGGAGUUCCAUUUCUAUCUUCCAAUAAAAUAGCAUUAAUGGAAUAACAUUUGUUAAGAUAAUGCAAAGAGAUGUAUGUGCUAUAGCAACUUUUUCCCCCUCCAGCUUAUAAAUUUAACUAACACACAGACAGCUACACAAGUCCAGAAGGUACAGAGAUUUGCAUCAGCCGUUAAUCAAGGCCUUCCAGUUAGGAUUAUAUUGUGAGAUAAUGCAUUGGAAGAAAGCUGAGGCACCAAACCAACUUUCAAUCACACCCAUGAGAUAAUUUAGAGACAGAAAGUGUACUAAAUGAAGCAAUAAAAAGAAAUUUUAUUCAUUCAUCAAACAUUUUACUAGGUGCUAUAUCUGGGCAAAGAGAAACAAUAUGUGAUUCUACUAGGGUAUUGUAGUUACAACUUUAAAAAUUGCUUUCCAAGGCAUUUGCUGUAAUCUGAAUCUCUAACUAAAAGGCUGAAUAACUAGGAAAUAACUCAAGAAAAUAGACCUAAGUAUUAUCUUGGCAGUAAUUUCACAGUAAAGUUGGUCUAAUAAAAAUUUCACAUGGAUUAUGUCUUAAUUGACUCUCAACCACUGUGACUCUUCGGAAGAUACAUGUCAGAGAAUAAAUGUUACACCUUGCUAAUUUUAAACACACUUACAAUAUAAUCUAAAACAAAGAUUUUAUCUGCUUGUUUUGCAAGUUGAAAUAGCAUUUUUAAGUUGAAAUAGCAUUACAGUUAUUCAUAAACUUUCUUUUGUUCCCUCUAAUACAGAUU